UGAUCACGUGUCCAGAAGCAUGAUGCCUUCGAAAAUAUGGCGGAGUUGUUUCUUGAAGAAAGAAUGAAACACAUCAAACUGAAAGGAGCCUAGAUUUUCAAGACAGGACAUGAUAAUAUCAACAUGGAAACUAUGAUUGGCAGG